UGCCAGCAGCCGCGGUAAUACAGAGGGUGCGAGCGUUAAUCGGAAUUACUGGGCGUAAAGGGCGUGUAGGUGGAUAAGUGUGUUGGAUGUGAAAGCCCCGGGCUUAACCUGGGAGGGUCAUUCAAAACUGCUUGUCUAGAGUGCAGUAGAGGGAAGCGGAAUUUCCGGUGUAGCGGUGAAAUGCGUAGAUAUCGGAAGGAACAUCAGUGGCGAAGGCGGCUUCCUGGACUGUAACUGACACUGAGGCGCGAAGGCGUGGGGAGCAAACGGGAUUAGAUA
rnacentral:rRNA from 1 species